CUUCAAGCCUACAAUAUAAGAAUACAUAUAGAAAAUGUAUUCACAUACAACGGAGUACUACUCCAUCAUGUACUACUCCAAAGGAUACUCAAGGCAUUGAUUUAGCUGUUUACCAUACCCUUGUUUUGCUAAAGAAGUGAUUGAGGAUAUGGACCAAUGGAAUUGUCAAGCCAAGAAAAGAAUUAUUUGCUGAGAGGGUACCUGGAUCCACACCACAGAGACACAGGAGGUCAUAAGAUCCCAUUGUCCUGAGCUUCAGAGAUAGAGCAGAAGUGAACAACAGAAAGAGGGCCACUCCCAGUCUCCUUGAAGAAAAUUGAAGCCUACUAGAAAAGUGAAGAAAAUCUCUGCAAA